UACGAAGGGGGCUAGCGUUGCUCGGAAUCACUGGGCGUAAAGCGCACGUAGGCGGACUCUUAAGUCGGUGGUGAAAUCCUGGAGCUCAACUCCAGAACUGCCUUCGAUACUGGGAGUCUCGAGUCCGGGAGAGGUGAGUGGAACUGCGAGUGUAGAGGUGAAAUUCGUAGAUAUUCGCAAGAACACCAGUGGCGAAGGCGG
rnacentral:rRNA from 1 species